GUCCUCUGGGCCCUGAAUAUGGUUGCCAUGGCUACCACUGAGGCCUAGUGCACCUGGGGCCUACUACCAGCCUUAACUCUCUGAGAAAGGAGCAGUUUUGUGGCCAAGUGACAAAUGAGUCUCAAAGGUGCUGCAAGAUCUCUCUACAGACUGAUUCCGUUUAUUUGUUUAUUAUAUUUAUAGUAUUAUAUUGAUUAUAUUGAUUCUACGGACGACACGGCUAUAUUUUUCCAGAAAAGAAGCAGCUGUCCCUCGUCUUGCAGCAAUGGGUAAAGAUAAGAAGAAAGACAGCAAAAAGGGAGAGAAGUCUUUGCCUCCGCUGGCGCAUGAAGCUGCUCUUGACGCUGGCAGUUCCAUACAGACCAUUCUGCCAGCUGCAAAUCAA